rnacentral:RNase_P_RNA from 1 species
UGGGUCGGCAAGACGGUCGCGUUAUCCCCUCGGGGGUACCGAGGAACGUCCGGGCUCCACAGAGCAGGGCGGUGGGUAAUUCCCACCCGGGGCAACCCGCGAGAAAGUGCAACAGAAAGCAGACCGCCUCCUGGUUUCGACCAGGCGGUAAGGGUGAAACGGUGGUGUAAGAGACCACCAGCGGCCCGCGUGAUCGGGUCGGCUAGGUAAACCUCGCCCGGAGCAAGGUCGAACAGGAAGCGUUACGGGCGGCUCGUCCAGUUUCCGGGUAGACCGCUAGAGGUGUGCGGCAACGUACAUCGUAGAUAGAUGGCCGUCGAUGACACGUUUUCGGAUGUGUCGGGACAGAACCCGGCGUAAUAGCCGGCCCAUUCA